GAAAUGCGAUAAGUAAUGUGAAUUGCAGAAUUCAGUGAAUCAUCGAAUCUUUGAACGCACAUUGCGCCCGCCAGUAUUCUGGCGGGCAUGCCUGUUCGAGCGUCAUUUCAACCAUCAAGCCCCCGGGCUUGUGUUGGGGACCUGCGGCUGCCGCAGGCCCCGAAAACCAGUGGCGGGCUCGCUGUCACACCGGGCGUAGUAGAUUUUUCGUCUCGCCCAGGGCGUGCUGCGGGUUCCGGCCGUUAAAAAGCCUCUCUUUUAACCCAAGGUUGACCCCGGAUCAGGUAGGAAGACCCGCUGAACUUAAGC
rnacentral:misc_RNA from 1 species